rnacentral:lncRNA from 1 species
UCCAUUUGUUGCAACUUCCCAAAAUUUGUUUUUGCCACUGUCAUCCCCGGGAGUUUUAUCUUCGAUUAAAGUAGCUUUAUCUCCUUGUAAAGAGAGCAAUAAGAUGAAAAAACAAAAGUUUAGUAUUCAAAUUUCAAUUCAAAAAACAAUAAGCAGAAUGUAAAAAGUGUGUGUGUGUGUGUGUGUGUGUGUGUGUGUGAAGUUAAUUUGGGUGGCGAUUGUGAUGGGGUGGAUGAUGGUGGCCGGUAGCAAGUUGUUUUAGUUGUGGAGGUGGUCGGGUGUUUUGGGUUUG